GAUGAACGCUGGCGGCGUGCCUAAUACAUGCAAGUCGAGCGAACGGACGAGAAGCUUGCUUCUCUGAUGUUAGCGGCGGACGGGUGAGUAACACGUGGAUAACCUACCUAUAAGACUGGGAUAACUUCGGGAAACCGUAGCUAAUACCGGAUAAUAUUUUGAACCGCAUGGUUCAAAAGUGAAAGACGGUCUUGCUGUCACUUAUAGAUGGAUCCGCGCUGCAUUAGAUAGUUGGUAAGGUAACGGCUUACCAAGGCAACGAUGCAUAGCCGACCUGAGAGGGUGAUCGGCCACACUGGAACUGAGACACGGUCCAGACUCCUACGGGAGGCAGCAGUAGGGAAUCUUCCGCAAUGGGCGAAAGCAUGACGGAGCAACGCCGCGUGAGUGAUGAAGGUCUUCGGAUCGUAAAACUCUGUUAUUAGGGAAGAACAUAUGUGUAAGUAACUGUGCACAUCUUGACGGUACCUAAUCAGAAAGCCACGGCUAACUACGUG
rnacentral:rRNA from 1 species